rnacentral:rRNA from 1 species
AUUGCAGGACACAUUGAGCACUGAUUUUUCGAACGCACAUUGCGGCCUCGGGUCCUGCCCGGGGCCUCGCCUGUCUGAGGGUCGGAUAAGACUUGCAAAGGAAGGUUUUCUUCCAAUUGGCCGCGUCGGAGAUCAAUGGUCUUCGUCGGCUCAAGUACUUAUAGGAUCCUCCCCGGUCGAGAGAGCACAAGCCCUAGAGCGUGCUCGUCGCUCGGAGAAGACGGACAACGUUUCUCCACGAAGACGAGACGGUUUGUUGUUGAGAAGACCAAUUGAAAGGGGAAGAGUUCCUACGUAGACAAUGUGUCUAANGACUCAAAUUUAUGACGACCUCAGAUCAGACGAGAUGACCCGCUGAAUUUAAGCAUAU